AUUGAACGCUGGCGGCAGGCCUAACACAUGCAAGUCGAGCGGAUGACGGGAGCUUGCUCCUUGAUUCAGCGGCGGACGGGUGAGUAAUGCCUAGGAAUCUGCCUGGUAGUGGGGGACAACGUUUCGAAGGGAACGCUAAUACCGCAUACGUCCUACGGGAGAAGGCAGGGGACCUUCGGCCCUUGCGCUAUCAGAUGUGCCUCGGUCGGAUUAGCUAGUUGGUGGGGCAAUGGCUCACCAAGGCGACGAUCCGUAACUGGUCUGAGAGGAUGAUCAGUCACACUGGAACUGAGACACGGUCCAGACUCCUACGGGAGGCAGCAGUGGGGAAUAUUGGACAAUGGGCGAAAGCCUGAUCCAGCCAUGCCGCGUGUGUGAAGAAGGUCUUCGGAUUGUAAAGCACUUUAAGUUGGGAGGAAGGGCAGUAAGCUAAUACCUUGCUGUUUUGACGUUACCGACAGAAUAAGCACCGGCUAACUCUGUGCCAGCCGCCGCCGUAAUAC
rnacentral:rRNA from 1 species